rnacentral:rRNA from 1 species
UACAGAGGGUGCAAGCGUUGUUCGGAAUUAUUGGGCGUAAAGCGCGUGUAGGCGGCUUAGCAAGUCGGGCGUGAAAGCCCUCGGCUCAACCGAGGAAGUGCACCCGAAACUGCUGAGCUUGAGUGCCGGAGAGGAUGGCGGAAUUCCCCAAGUAGAGGUGAAAUUCGUAGAUAUCGAGAGGAACACCGGUGGCGAAGGCGGCCUUCUGGACAGUGACUGACGCUGAGACGCGAAAGCGUGGGGAGCAAACAGG